rnacentral:rRNA from 1 species
CGGACGGGUGAGUAACGCGUGGGUAACCUGCCAUAUACAGGGGGAUAACAGCGAGAAAUUGCUGCUAAAACCGCAUAAGCGCACGGAGUCGCAUGACUCAGUGUGAAAAACUCCGGUGGUAUAUGAUGGACCCGCGUCUGAUUAGCCAGUUGGCAGGGUAACGGCCUACCAAAGCGACGAUCAGUAGCCGGCCUGAGAGGGUGGACGGCCACAUUGGGACUGAGACACGGCCCAAACUCCUACGGAAGGCAGCAG